UCGGUGCCGCCACACGGGGCGCGGGUUUGCAACGCCUGGAGCAGCCAGUUGCUGCAUCCGCCCUGGCGCUUCUCGCAGAGGGCCGGCAGACAGGAAAAAAGCAGAAAAACACUGAGAAAACUCAGCAGGUUAGGCCGCAACUGUGGGAAGAGGGCGUCCGGAGAAGGUGGUGCAGCGGUAGGGUUGCUGCCUCACAGCGCCAGAGACCCGGGCUCGAUCCUGAUUACGGGUAUUGUCUGUGCGGAGUUUGUACAUUAUUCCCGCGUGGGUUUUCUCUGGGCGCUCCAGUUUGCAUACACACUCAAAAGGCGGGUUGUAGGUUAUUUGGCCUCGUUGUAAAUUGUCCCUAGUGUGUAGGAUAGUGUUAAUGUGUGGGAAUCGCUGAUCGGCACAGACUCGGUCCGAAGGGCCUGUUUCCCCGCUGUAUCUCUAAACGAAGAAGCCACUUCGUCAGAAUCUUGAUGAACUGUAGGGGGGGAAAGGAGAAGGGGGUGGUUACAUCUCGGAUAAGAUUUUAAAAAAACUCCAUGGGGAUAAGCUGCAAACAUGCAAAGAAACAGGUUUCUGGAGGAACUCGGUGGGUGAGGGAAUAUCUGUAGAUGAGUCGUGGUCUCUUGUGUAUUUAGAGAUGCAGCAUGAAAACAGGCCCUUCGGCACACCGAAUGUAUGCCAUCCAUCGAUCAACCUAUUUCUAUGUUAUCUCAUUUUCACAUCCACUAUCUGCCCACAAGGAUCAAUUUACAGAGGCCUAUUAAUCAACAAACCCACAUGAGUUUGGGAUGUGGGAGGAACCGGCGGAAAUUCCACACAGACAGCACCUGAGGUCAGGAAUAACCCCGGACUCUGGCGCUCUACCAGCUGUGCCACUCCUGCCUUAAAAGUUAUCUGGAGCAAUGAGAGAGUGAGAACAUAGUCAGAAGAUUGUAGGAGGUCUUCCUGUUUUAUGCUCCUCAGUUAAAUCUUCACAGUUAUAACGGAAACAUCAGAAACCUGGCAAGAUAUUCUAGUAACUGAGGUGUGGAAAAUGAGCAUGCUUAAGCUAUCUGCAACUAGUGAAUCAGAAAAUCAUGUGAGUGGAGUGUCAUGUUUAAGUAUAGCAAUGCUUUGAUAGUUUCAGCCCUUCAUUUGGUCACGGCAACAGGUUUCUAAGCAAUUGCAGCGUUUCUUGUAUAUGGUGCACCUGGCCACCUGCUGGUAGCUGGUGCUGCACAGCAGAAUGGUUAUAUUAUGGUGCCAAUAUCGUUGAUUUAGAAUAAAAAUUAACAAUGGUGAUCACAAAAUUCCUGUAUUUUCAUCAUCCCAACUAGUUCACUGAUGUCUUUUACGGAAGCAAGAAAAAGGAUGCUGAUCCGAAAAAGUUAUCUGUCAAUUGACCAGCACUGUGGUGCACCUGGUAGAACUGGGUUUGAUCCUGACCUCAUGUGGAGCUUGUGUGAUUGACUUUUUAGUUAGUUUAUUAUCGUCAUGUGUACCGAGGUACAGUGAAAAAAAUGUUUUGUUGCGUGCUAGCCAAUCAACGAAAAGACAAUACAUUACAAUCAAGCCAUCCCCAGUGUACAGAAGAAGUGCUGCUGUGGAAAUAAAGAUUUGAAAGAAUAAA